GGUGGUGGCUCACCUGGUAGAGCACACACUUUUCCAAGUGUAAGGACCAGGGUUCAAGACCCUGGUCUCCACCU
rnacentral:tRNA from 1 species